rnacentral:miRNA from 1 species
CAGAAUUCUGACUUUAUUCUCA